rnacentral:rRNA from 1 species
AAUAUUUUAAUAGUCGAACAGACUAAAUUAAUAAACUUUUGCAUUUAUUAUAAAUAUUAAUCCAACAUCGAGGUCGCAAUCUUUAAUUUCUAUAAGAACUAAAAAUUAAAAUAACG